rnacentral:rRNA from 1 species
GAUGAACGCUGGCGGCGUGCUUAACACAUGCAAGUCGAACGGAAAGGCCCAAGCUUGCUUGGGUACUCGAGUGGCGAACGGGUGAGUAACACGUGGGUGAUCUGCCCUGCACUUCGGGAUAAGCCUGGGAAACUGGGUCUAAUACCGGAUAGGACCACUUCUUGGAUGUUGUGGUGGAAAGUUUUUUCGGUGUGGGAUGAGCUCGCGGCCUAUCAGCUUGUUGGUGGGGUAAUGGCCUACCAAGGCGUCGACGGGUAGCCGGCCUGAGAGGGUGUACGGCCACAUUGGGACUGAGAUACGGCCCAGACGCCUACGGGAGGCAGCAGUGGGGAAUAUUGCACAAUGGGCGCAAGCCUGAUGCAGCGACGCCGCGGGGGGGAGGACGGCCUUCGGGUUGUAAACUCCUUUCGCUAGGGACGAAGCGUUUUGUGACGGUACCUGGAGAAGAAGCACCGGCUAACUACGUG